UUCUUUGCUACUUUACUCCUCAGAAGUUGCAGCCUUAGCUCCACUUCUUUCAUUUUUGGUCUCUGUUCUCCUCUAAGCCUCAAGCAUAUCUCUGCAAGCGAAGCAAUCUCAUCAAUUUCCCACUGGUCUGCUUCUUCCAAAACCUGUACAUCUACUAUUUCUGAUGUGGUAUUGUUUUGCUGUCUUUGAAGAAAGUGAUGACACAGGUUCUGCUUUUCUCCAAUUGAAUUGAGGAAGAUUGGCCUUUUCCUUGUUAUAAGCUCAAUAAGUAUUACACCAAAACUGUAAACGUCACUCUUCUCAUUUAAUUGUCCUGUAUGAUAAUAUUCAGGAUCCAAGUAUCCAAAUGUACCUUGCACUAUUGUGACCACGUGAGUUUCAUCAAUAGAAACAGAUCUUGAAGCACCAAAAUCUGAAACCUUUGUAGUGAAAUUAUCAUCGAGAAGUAUAUUGGCAGAUUUCACAUCUCUAUGAAAUAUUGGUACCGAGGCAGCUGAAGUUCAUAAUAACGAUUUUUGUCGAUAUUGGCAACAAACUGGUUUCUUACCUAUGCAACCGUUAUGUACGUACGGAUUUCCUUCGUAGCCAGUAGAGCACUUGCAACGAUAUCCCAAAUGCACAUGUCCAUGCGUGACACCAGUACACUCACCGUUGGUGCUAAUGCAGGCAUAAGCAGAUGAUUUUUUAGCCUUUUCACAAGUCAUGUUGGUCACAAACCACUUCCAAAUACCGUAAUGCUGAGAGA
rnacentral:sRNA from 1 species